rnacentral:rRNA from 1 species
CAUUACCACACCAAAAAAACUUUCCACGUGAACCGUUGUCUGUAUGGUUUUGUACUGCUGCUCGCUCUCGGGCUUGAGUGGCGGUUAAACAAUGCUUACGUUGAUUGAUUCGCUUCGGCUGAGUCUCCGUGAGUGCCCUUUUUAAACCCCUUUCCAUACCUCAUUUUCUGAUGUAUACUCCGAGAACGAAAGUUCUUGGUUUGAACUAGAUAACAACUUUCAGCAGUGGAUGUCUAGGCUCGCACAACGAUGAAGAACGCUGCGAACUGCGAUACGUAAUGCGAAUUGCAGGAUUCAGUGAGUCAUCGAGAUUUUGAACGCACAUGGCACUUUCGGGUUAUACCUGGAAGUAUGUCUGUAUCAGUGUCUGUUGUAAAAACUUGCCUUUUUUGUGUGUGUUUUCCUUUUGGAGAGCGCGUGCGAAAGAUGUGCAGAAUGUGAAGUGUCUUGCUUUGCGGCGAGUCCUUUUAAAUGCAGUUUGCUUCUGUGCGGUUGGAAGCGCAUGUUUGCCUCGAAGGAGGUGAUCGUGUUUGACUUGCACGUAAGGUUGACUUCAGCUAGAACGCUGUAGGCAAUGCCCAAUGAGUGGUAUGUUGUGCACUUGUGCUCGACUUGUUACUGGUUGGUGCGUGGUCUGUUUUAGUGGGGGUCCUUUGUGUGUAUGUUGGGUGCGGUUGCUGCUAUUACUUCUGGGCGUGGCGUGUGUUUUGGACUGCGCGUUUUACAACGGAGGCCUAUUUGGGAAACGAGUACCUACCCGGUGCUUUACUUCAAAUUGGACCUGAUAUC